rnacentral:rRNA from 1 species
AUUGAACGCUGGCGGCAUGCCUUACACAUGCAAGUCGAACGGCAGCACGGGAGCAAUCCUGGUGGCGAGUGGCGAACGGGUGAGUAAUAUAUCGGAACGUGCCCAGUCGUGGGGGAUAACGUAGCGAAAGCUACGCUAAUACCGCAUACGAUCUAUGGAUGAAAGCGGGGGAUCGCAAGACCUCGCGCGAUUGGAACGGCCGAUAUCAGAUUAGGUAGUUGGUGAGGUAAAGGCUCACCAAGCCGACGAUCUGUAGCUGGUCUGAGAGGACGACCAGCCACACUGGGACUGAGACACGGCCCAGACUCCUACGGGAGGCAGCAGUGGGGAAUUUUGGACAAUGGGCGCAAGCCUGAUCCAGCAAUGCCGCGUGCAGGAUGAAGGCCUUCGGGUUGUAAACUGCUUUUGUACGGAACGAAACGGCGAGCUCUAAUACAGCUUGCUAAUGACGGUACCGUAAGAAUAAGCACCGGCUAACUACGUGCCAGCAGCCGCGGUAA